AAAAAAAUAUUAAUUUAAACAAGCAUGUUUUGAAACUUGGAAUUUGCAGUCUUCAUCUAUGGAUGCGCUGUAUGGAGUGGAUUUUCAAUACUGCUUGUAAACUCCCAGCUGUUAAGUAAGGAAGAAAUAUUCCAUCACAAAAGAGUAAAGAAUUUAUUGAAAACAAAAAAAAAUUCCAGCAUUUAUUCAAGAUACAACUGAAUAUAAGGGUUUCUUUUGUCAGGAAAGGAUGUGGAACAACCAAUACUGGAAAUGUUGCUCGCAAAUUUUUUAAUAACCCGAUUGUGACAGGGAGAAUUUUAAACUUGGAUAUCAGAAUGAUUAAGUUGUUUCGAGAUUUACUCAUUGAUAUAAACAGAACAACUACAAGACCGGAUAUAAAGGUUUUCAAACAGAAAUCUGAACAUCUAUUUGCACUCAUAACUAAUGAUAAAUUUUUAAAAACCAUACCUAUGUCACAAUCUGUGCAUAGAGUGAUAGUUCAUGGUACUUCUUUUAUAAGGUAUUUUAAGUAUCCGAUAGGUUCUUUGUCUGAGAGUGCUAUUGAAGCCAGAAAUAAGGAAAACAAAACUGCUCGAAUUGGUCAUGCAUGUUUAACCUCUUUUGCAGAAAACACUAGGGAUACAGCUAAUUAUUUGUUUAGGACAUCUGAUAUGUACCUCUUUUGCAAAAAAAACAAAAUUGAUAAAAAAAGAGUGAAAACAAAAUAGUUUAAGAAAGCAAAGUGACAGUUCUUCUGAUAACUGCUUAAAAUAAAGGAAGUAAGACCAUGAAGAAUCAUACUGAUGAGCUGUUCUGCGUUGAAUUUUUAAAAAACGGCUAUUUUCAUAGCCAC
rnacentral:lncRNA from 1 species